rnacentral:rRNA from 1 species
UACGGGGGGUGCAAGCGUUGUUCGGAAUUAUUGGGCGUAAAGCGCGUGUAGGCGGUUUGUUAAGUCUGUUGUGAAAGCCCUGGGCUCAACCCAGGAAGUGCACUGGAUACUGGCAGACUUGAAUACGGGAGAGGGUAGUGGAAUUCCUGGUGUAGGAGUGAAAUCCGUAGAUAUCAGGAGGAACACCCGUGGCGAAGGCGGCUCUCUGGGACGGUACUGACGCUGAGACGCGAAAGCGUGGGGAGCGAACAGG